CGGGGCGGGGCCCAGAGGAGCGACGGGACGGCGGCGCGCUCGCUCCGGUUCCUCCUCCGAGCACCGGCAGUAGGUGGCGCGCCCCAGGGUGGCCCUGCCCCUGGUGGAAGAGUCUUGCAGGAGCUGGGCAGGGGCAGGUUCAGGUUAGACCUGCCUUAACGUUUUCCUCAGGCGAAACCAGUUGCAGCCUCGUUGUUUGGCCAAAGCCCCACGCCCUCCCGCCCCGCCCCGAGUGAGCCCCGCUGCGUCCCGUUGCUGCCCUAUCCGGAGGCUGCGCCGUCCCGUUGUCGACGACCCGGCCUGGCGUCCUCCCGGAGGUUUCUGGUCUCAGGUCAGUGGCGCCUGUGUCUCCCAGUGUCCUGCAGCCGCUCACACUGGUUUCUCCCCAGCGCCUCUCCUCUGUCACACUCCGUCUACCUACGUGGUGGGGGCACAGCUGUACCCCAUGUCACAGAGUGGACCCCUAGGCCAGGAGAGGGUACCGGCGGGGAUGUGAACUUGACCUGCACAGGCCACACGCAGCACAUGAACCGGACGCCCUGUGUGAGCCUCACUCCGGCUGAGGACUCCGGCCUCCGCAGGCCUAAGGGUGUGGGGAGUGGCCCCAAACCGGCACCUGGGGUGGGGGGCCAUCUACCUUGCUGGGCGGCCUUGCGCGCCCCUCCACCCACAUCUCCUGGAAGGGCAGCGAAUGUUCAGUCAUUAGGAAACAGGUUUGACUUAUUGACUAGGCUUUUCCAGCAUGUUCUGAGGUCCCUGAAGAUCCUGCUCCAGACCAGGGUCUACGUCUGUAAGGGAAAGACCCCCAUCUUCAUAGACAACGUUUGCCCCAUGGCUCUGCCGGUUCUGACUCCCCAGGGACCGGCUCCUCUCGGGCAGCAGGGUCCCAGCGACAGAAGCCGGUGCAGAGUGGGCCUUGAAGGAGGGCUGCCGGCGAUGCGCUCCAGGCCCCGCGAGAGACGGCGGGCCGGGUAGAGCAGGCCAGCCUGCAUGGGGCGUGGGGCACCAGGUUCCUGCCCUUGCCUGGUGGGCCGAGGCCCGGCCUCCUGCUCCGAGACGGUGGGGGGAUUCAGCUUCCUGGUGACUUGUCCAGAUGAAGGACCCGGGGCGCGGAGGUCAGCCAGGACUGAGGGCGCACCCUUCUUGCUCUGCCCGGACCCUCCUGUGCGGAGAGCAGACUGGGCCCCGAGACUCGCGUCGCCAGAGGAUGAGCUCCCGGACGUCCGGGCCCAGCCAGCCACCGGCCCUGCCUUGUCCGCAGUCCUGGCAUUUCGUAUCUGAGGGACUUGUCACACUCGACCACAUUUCCACUCUGGCCCGAUUUCCUGUUGGUCGUCAAUACAUUGUAUCGAGGGAACGCUAGGAAGCCCACGGAGUGUAGGCUGCGGUUAUAAUCGUAAGAAAAGGGAACUUACUUUGGUAUCAAAAUCACACGACUCCAGGCUGCUGCUUUUGUGCUUUAAUAUUCCGCACUCAAACGAAAGUAUUUCAGGCAACCCUGGGCCCCGGCGCCCCUUCCCUCCACGCACUCAUUUGGUCUGUUUGCAAGUUACCGGAGGAUACAAAAAUAGCCGCUACAAAUCCUCUGUUUCUGGCAUAUAAAAACUGAGCGAAAAGUGUCUCAGCAGUCAUGACCUUAACACAAAACAUCUCAGGAAAAAUACAACACAGGUUUCACUUCUGCAGUGUUGU